rnacentral:rRNA from 1 species
AUUGAACGCUGGCGGAAUGCUUUACACAUGCAAGUCGAACGGCAGCACGGACUUCGGUCUGGUGGCGAGUGGCGAACGGGUGAGUAAUGUAUCGGAACGUGCCCAGUCGUGGGGGAUAACGUAGUGAAAAUUACGCUAAUACCGCAUACGAUCUAUGGAUGAAAGCGGGGGAUCGGCAGACCUCGCGCGAUUGGAGCGGCCGAUAUCAGAUUAGGUAGUUGGUGGGGUAAAGGCCCACCAAGCCAACGAUCUGUAGCUGGUCUGAGAGGACGACCAGCCACACUGGAACUGAGACACGGUCCAGACUCCUACGGGAGGCAGCAGUGGGGAAUUUUGGACAAUGGGCGAAAGCCUGAUCCAGCCAUUCCGCGUGCAGGAUGAAGGCCCUCGGGUUGUAAACUGCUUUUGUACAGAACGAAAAGGUUUCUACUAAUACUAGGAGCUCAUGACGGUACUGUAAGAAUAAGCACCGGCUAACUACGUGCCAGCCGCCGCGGUAA